rnacentral:rRNA from 1 species
CACAGAGUUAGCCGGUGCUUAUUCUGCGAGUAACGUCCACUCAUCUUGGGUAUUAACCAAAAGAGCCUCCUCCUCGCUUAAAGUGCUUUACAACCAUAAGGCCUUCUUCACACACGCGACAUGGCUGGAUCAGGGCUCCCCCAUUGUCCAAUAUUCCCACUGCUGCCUCCCGUAGGAGUCUGGGCCGUGUCUCAGUCCCAGUGUGGCGGAUCAUCCUCUCAGACCCGCUACAGAUCGUCGCCUUGGUAGGCCUUUACCCACAACUAGCUAAUCCGACUUAGGCUCAUCUAUUAACGCAAGGUCACAAGUGAUCCCCUGCUUCCCCGUAGGGCGUAUGCGGUAUUAGCAUCCCUUCGAGAUGUUGUCCCCAUUAAUAGGCAGAUUCCUAAGUAUUACUCACCGUCGCGCUAGGUCAAUUACCGAAGCAAAUCUCCCCGCUCGACUUGCAUGUGUUAAAGCCUGCCGCCAGCGUUCAAUACUGAGCACGGAU